UUAAUAGAUGGUUAUUAUCAUUAAUCAUUAAAAUUUGGGAAGUAGUACUAGAACUAAUUAAAAAAAUUAACUAAAUGGAGUCUAGCAGAGUAAAUGAAAUUAAUUGAGGGAAUAUACAUCAUAUUAGAUCGCAGAAUGUGUGAACCAAGGCUUAGAUAGUGAUCCCAAAAUAUGUUAAAGCCUAUCCUUAUUAUUUGAAGGAAAA
rnacentral:misc_RNA from 1 species